AAGCAACAAAACAAGUAAAAAAUAGAGUGAGUAGAAACAGAGAGACUCAACAAAAUGGGCAAAAUCAGAUAUAAAAGGAACUAUAAGUAUCUUCCAUGUAUAUAGAUAAAAGCAAUGAUUCCAUAGAAAAGCGGGAAGAAGCACAAGCAUCAUCACCACCAUCACGGCAACAACAAUAAGAUUCAGAAACCCAUUUCCAUACACAGUGAGGUUCCGAUGAUCAGUGAUGACAAUCUCCUUAUGCUCUCCCUUCUUCUUCGUCUUCUUCUUGAAUAUAAUAUGACAAUUAAAGGAAAGAAAAGGGGUAUAUGAAAAAUGGAAAAUCUAAAAGUAAAACACUACAACUAUUGCCUGGCUCCAUUCUGUCUGCCUUGUUACUAUGUAUGAAGAACAGGGGAUUGUGCUGUACAGAGAGAGCUACAUUGCACUCUUCGCCUUAAAAAUGCACAACUAACACCUCUGUUUUACAGAGGGAAUGUCUUGAGGGUACGUUUCUCUUUCUCAACAAAGGCCAGUUUGGUCAUUGCAGGGAACUCGGUGAGAAUGAAUGAAUUGAAUGGUUGGGAUGGACAAAACCACUGUGCUUUUCUAGUGGUUUUGUCUUCUUGAGCCAUUUCAGAAACUUGCUCAGGCCCAUUGGGCCCAACCCCACCACCACUCCUCCAUCCUCCUCUCCACCCACUGAGGAAGAAGAUUGAAGCUCGCUGUCUCUCUCCUUUAUUCUGCUCUCCUCUGUUAGUGAAAGAGGGAUAUGAGAGAGGAUAUAGAGCUUGAGGGGUUUUUAAAGGGCUGGCCCAUAAGCAUUUUCUACAUGCGGCUUGUUUUGUGCUUUGGCUUUUAGUUGGCGGUAUUCUGCUUGUGCACGCGCUGACGUACGUAAAACCAAAACACUCGCUGUCUGGGAGAGAAACGUGUCGACUAGGAGUCGUUUUAGGUUUGAAGAAUUACCAAGAAGCCCCGGCAGCAAUGAGCCAAGGGCGUAAAUGUGAAAAUAGGAGGAGAGAGUAAGAGCAACAUUCGAU
rnacentral:lncRNA from 1 species